AUUAAAUCCAGAGGCGAUCUAUUCGUGUGCUGGCGACAGUUACUUAUCAGUGAGAAGACAAAGCAAGACGUAAAAAACUUGUCGGAGAUGUGUCAAAUUGUAAGUGAUACAG